rnacentral:rRNA from 1 species
CAGUAGCCGCGGUAAUACGUAGGUGGCAAGCGUUGUCCGGAAUUAUUGGGCGUAAAGGGCUCGCAGGCGGUUUCUUAAGUCUGAUGUGAAAGCCCCCGGCUCAACCGGGGAGGGUCAUUGGAAACUGGGAAACUUGAGUACAGAAGAGGAGAGUGGAAUUCCACGUGUAGCGGUGAAAUGCGUAGAGAUGUGGAGGAACACCAGUGGCGAAGGCGACUCUCUGGUCUGUAACUGACGCUGAGGAGCGAAAGCGUGGGGAGCGAACAGGAUUAGAUACCCCCGUAGUCCCUGUCUCUUAUAC